rnacentral:rRNA from 1 species
GACGAACGCUGGCGGCGUGCUUAACACAUGCAAGUCGAACGGUGAAGCUCCAGCUUGCUGGAGUGGAUCAGUGGCGAACGGGUGAGUAACACGUGAGCAACCUGCCCCUGACUCUGGAAUAAGCGCUGGAAACGGCGCCUAAGACUGGAUACGAGAAGGGUCAGCAUGGGCACUUUCUGGAAUGUUUUUCGGUUGGGGAUGGGCUCGCGGCCUAUGAGCUUGUUGGUGAGGUAAUGGCUCACCAAGGAGACGACGGGUAGCCCGCCUGAGAGGGCGACCGGCCACACUAGGACUGAGACACGGCCCAGACGGCUACGGGAGGCAGCAGUGGGGAAUAUUGCACAGUGGGCGAGCGCCUGAUGCAGCGACGCCGCGUUAGGAAUGACGGCCUGCGGGUUAUAAACCUCUUUCGGCAAAGAACAAGCGAAAGUGACGGUACCUACAGAAGAAGCACCGGCUAACUACGUG